GUGGGGAAUCUUAGACAAUGGGGGAAACCCUGAUCUAGCCAUGCCGCGUGAGCGAUGAAGGCCUUAGGGUUGUAAAGCUCUUUCAGCUGGGAAGAUAAUGACGGUACCAGCAGAAGAAGCCCCGGCUAACUCCGUGCCAGCAGCCGCGGUAAUACGGAGGGGGCUAGCGUUGUUCGGAAUUACUGAGCGUAAAGCGCGCGUAGGCGGACCAGAAAGUUGGAGGUGAAAUCCCAGGGCUCAACCUUGGAACUGCCUUCAAAACUGCUGGUCUGGAGUUCGAGAGAGGUGAGUGGAAUUCCGAGUGUAGAGGUGAAAUUCGUAGAUAUUCGGAGGAACACCAGUGGCGAAGGCGGCUCACUGGCUCGAUACUGACGCUGAGGUGCGAAAGCGUGGGGAGCAAACAGGAUUAGAAACCCGUGUAGUCC
rnacentral:rRNA from 1 species